GCGGAGGAAAAGAAAAUAACAAUGAUUUCCCUAGUAACGGCGAGUGAAGAGGAAAGAGCUCAAAGUUGGAAACUGUUUGGCUUAGCUAAACCGUAUUGUAAACUGUAGAAACAUUUUCCUGGCACACCAGAUUAAUAAGUCCUUUGGAACAAGGCAUCAUGGAGGGUGAGAAUCCCGUCUUUGAUCUGAGUAGUUGUCUUUUGUGAUAUGUUUUCAAAGAGUCAGGUUGUUUGGGAAUGCAGCCUAAAUUGGGUGGUAAAUCUCACCUAAAGCUAAAUAUUUGCGAGAGACCGAUAGCGAACAAGUACCGUGAGGGAAAGAUGAAAAGAACUUUGAAAAGAGAGUUAAACAGUAUGUGAAAUUGUUAAAAGGGAACCGUUUGGAGCCAGACUGGUUUGACUGUAAUCAACCUAGAAUUCGUUUUGGGUGCACUUGCAGUCUAUACCUGCCAACAACAGUUUGAUUUGGAGGACAAAAUUAAUAGGAAUGUAGCCUCUCGAGGUGUUAUAGACUAUUAUCAUACUCUGGAUUGGACUGAGGAACGCAGCGAAUGCCUUUAGGCAAGAUUGCUGGGUGCUUUCGCUAAUAAAUGUUAGAAUUUCUGCUUCGGGUGGUGCUAAUGUUUAAAGGAGGAACACAUCUAGUAUAUUUUUUAUUCGCUUAGGUUGUUGGCUUAAUGACUCUAAAUGAC
rnacentral:rRNA from 1 species